GCUGCUGCCUCACAACUGAAACAGACAAAUUCAUUGGGGUCACUAAGGCUUCAUCAGGAAAUUGCAAAACUAAAAAGCACCUGCUCAAUGGAACCCUAGAAGGCAGAACUCUUGAGAAUUUCAAUCUCGCCAGCUAAAAAGAGUACCAGAUUUCAACAGUCCCCUGCAGGACAACAUGAAAAAAGUGGUACAUUCUUCUUCCGUGUGACACAUGAGGGAGCUGCUACACGAACAAAGGAAUGGUCACCACCUGAUUGGCUGAAGUACUGGACGCACAUGGUGACCUGCUCAUUUGCGGACCACUUUCCCCCUGAAAUGAGAUGGAAAGAAGAUGAUUCUGAAGGAAGUUUUUCCCAUUGCAGGUAUCACCUGAAAAUGAG